GACGAACGCUGGCGGCGUGCUUAACACAUGCAAGUCGAACGGAAAGGCCCUGCUUUUGUGGGGUGCUCGAGUGGCGAACGGGUGAGUAACACGUGAGUAACCUGCCCUUGACUUUGGGAUAACUUCAGGAAACUGGGGCUAAUACCGGAUAGGAGCUCCUGCUGCAUGGUGGGGGUUGGAAAGUUUCGGCGGUUGGGGAUGGACUCGCGGCUUAUCAGCUUGUUGGUGGGGUAGUGGCUUACCAAGGCUUUGACGGGUAGCCGGCCUGAGAGGGUGACCGGCCACAUUGGGCCUGAGAGACGGCCCAGAGUCCUACGGGAGGCAGCAGUGGGGAGUAUUGCACAAUGGGCGGAAGCCUGAUGCAGCAACGCCGCGUGCGGGAUGACGGCCUUCGGGUUGUAAACCGCUUUCGCCUGUGACGAAGCGUGAGUGACGGUAAUGGGUAAAGAAGCACCGGCUAACUACGUG
rnacentral:rRNA from 1 species